CCUAUGGGCCCAGGCACCACACAUUACACCAGGACCCAGGACACUAAGGAGGGCCAGCUGAGAAGACCUCACAGGAUAGGAUACAACUGACCGAGAGAGGUGAUCCCAGAGAUAUACAGGUGCUAAGCCCAUCAGGAUUUUGUAGCUGCGUUCCCCACUAGUAGCAGCAAAGCUAAUCCUGCCAGAUGGUGGCACCACACCUGGUCCUACCGUGACUCUGCUGGACUGUCCUCCUCUGUCUUCCUCUGCGACCAUGGUUUUGGGGAGCCUGCUACCUGGACAGAGCCUGAUCUUUUUGCUGAGAGAUGGAAGGCCUCUCCCUUCCUUCAGCUGGGACCAUCCGUGAAUAGGAAAAGCAGGACAUUCUAGGGAAUGCUACAGAUGACAAGGCUGGUGGUGAGGGGGCAUAGUUUCAAACCUGCCCGAGCCUGAAGAUGAGCAUGGAAGACCCUCCUCUCUGACCUGUCACUACUGGAGAGACAAUGGGCAGGUACAAAGAGACAGAUGGCAGUGCCAGAAUUUUGAAAUGUCCUCCCUGAGGGAUCCAUCAGGUUCCCUCCCUUCCUGUGUUCAGGCAUGCUCUGAAAGCUCACCUCUCCAAACAGACUCUCCAUGUUAAUGGCUUGCUGCAUUUCAAAUAUGCUUUUGUUUAAUGCUGCUCCACUAUGUUUGAGUUUCAGGGUUGUUAAUUGUGUGUUUUGCUGUGUGUUAAUUGUUCAGUACCGUCUGGUACGUUUUGGUAAGCUGAAAAGAAAAAAGAAAAGAAAAGUUUAUCUUCUCCUCUUUAUA